GUCCACGCCGUAAACGGUGGGCGCUAGGUGUGGGGACCAUUCCACGGUUUCCGCGCCGCAGCUAACGCAUUAAGCGCCCCGCCUGGGGAGUACGGCCGCAAGGCUAAAACUCAAAGGAAUUGACGGGGGCCCGCACAAGCGGCGGAGCAUGCGGCUUAAUUCGAUGCAACGCGAAGAACCUUACCUGGGCUUGACAUAUGGGGAAAACCGGCAGAGAUGUCGGGUCCGCAAGGGCCUCAUACAGGUGGUGCAUGGCU
rnacentral:rRNA from 1 species